UACGGAGGGGGCUAGCGUUGUUCGGAAUUACUGGGCGUAAAGCGCACGUAGGCGGUUUGUCACGUCGCUGUGAAACCCUGGGGCUCAACCCCGGGCCCUGCAGCCGAUACGGGCUGACUAGAAUUCGGUAGGGGAGUCUGGAAUUCCUGGUGUAGCGGUGAAAUGCGCAGAUAUCAGGAGGAACACCGGUGGCGAAGGCGGGACUCUGGGCCGAUAUUGACGCUGAGGAGCGAAAGCGUGGGGAGCGAACAGG
rnacentral:rRNA from 1 species